CACCGGAGGCGGGCUACUACCUUGGUGCUGAAGCUAGAUUUUGCGAAAGCUUUCGACUCCAUCAACUGGGAAAGCUUGCGAAAGAUCAUGGCGGUGCGCGGGUUUCCGCCCCUUUGGUGUGACUGGAUGGACACCCUCUUCCACUCCUCUCGCUCGGCAGUCUUGCUCGACGGCGUGCCGGGGCGCUGGUUCCAGGUCAACUGCGGCCUCCGGCAAGGGGACCCAACCUCUCUGUACCUCUUCCUCGUGGUGGCCGAUGUGCUCCAGCGGCUCAUUCGCCGCGACGACGUUCUUCGGCAUCCCAUUGUGCCUGAUGCUCCGGCUGUCAUGCUCCAGUACGCGGAUGACACGCUCAUCAUCAUGCGAGCGUGCGCGGACGGAGCGGCACGGCUCAAGCUGCUCCUAGACCAGUUCGCGGCCGCCACCGGGCUCAUCAUCAACUUCAGCAAAAGCACGGUGGUCCUGAUGCACGUCGAUGAGGAGACCAGGGCUCAGGCGGUGGGGAUCCUUGGCUGCGACACCGGGGCGUUCCCACAGACGUACCUUGGGCUCCCCUGUCUUGGGAGAAGCUUCCCUAUGCAGAUUUCCUGCCCAUGA
rnacentral:rRNA from 1 species